rnacentral:lncRNA from 1 species
UGAAUAUAGAGAAGUACAUUGGGAGACCCAAAUACCAAAAGCCCCAACCUAGAGACAAGAAAAAUAAAAACAAACAAACAAAAACCAAGGAGACGAAAAUUGAAACAUGGAAAAAGAGUCUGCAAGGCCUACCAUCACACUGCUUGGUGAUGUGCAAUCAGAACUAGGGAUCAGGUGCUCCCCUAGCCCUAGGAACAAGAGGCUGACCUGGGCUGUCUCCCCCUUCCUGGCCUUUGGAGAUAGGCAGGAUGGCCCUCUCAGUCACACCCAAACCAUCUUCCCCUCAACCAGAUCCAGGAGGACAGAUGGGCAGACUGAGAGAUCCUGAUGGAAAUGUGAAGGGGAGAUACAGAGGAAGACAUGACCAACAGAAGACAGUUGGGACAAUGGACCAAGCUAAAUGUCUAGUGAGGAAGAAACUGAGCAAGGGGCUUAACUGAGUCAAGAUCUGUGACGUCUCCCCCGUGAUAGGAAUACAUGUAGUCAUUGAGGGAGCUGGAGAGUGUUCAUCAUGUCCACGGAGACAAGGUCAGCUCUCAUAGAGGAAAUGAGUUCGUUCACUGACCUUGUCCAUGUCCACAAGCUGAUAAGAACAUUGGCUGUGCCAAUCUCAAACUCGGAAGAAGAGUCUGAAGCUGCAGAGUGAGGAUGCAGUAGUUUUGCUGAAAACUAGCUGCUCAUUUAUAGGGUUGAGCAUAUGGGCUCCUUCUCCCUUUGCUCUCCUUUCCAAUUCUCUCACUGUGUGCAUGUCUGGGAAUGCAUGCGCAGACACACACCCACACCCACACAAAACACAUACGAGCAGGCAUUGGGUUCCACCUGGAUGCAGUUGGUAGCUAACUGUAAUAAGGCCAACUAUGUAUUUUUGAGGCCUGAUUAUUCCAAUUGUAUCUCUGGGGAUAGUCUUGUACCAGUCCUUUCUAAGCUCCCUUGUGGGGCCAUGUCCAUGGCAAGUGGCCCUGGAAGUUUAGCAUAGUUCCA